AUAAAACCACCUAGUGAGCACAGGAUUGCUCGAUAUUUUUAAUAUGGACUGUAACGAGUGGGAAAAUAGAGCCGAGCUACAAAUACCUAUACAUUCUACUGGGGUUGUUGCUUUUGAAGCCUUUAUCUAGGUAAUUGGAGGUAUAAACAGUAAAGAAUGGGGGCCAGUUUCAAAAACUGAACUCUUCAUGUUGGACGACGAAAGCAUCAGAAAACCGAAAGAAAUCCCUGUUCCUUUAACUGGCGUAUCAGUAAUUGUCAUACCUCCAGUAGAAGAUGUUUU